AUGUACCUCUAGUUCCAGCUACUCAGGAGGCUGAGGUAGGAGGCUCACUUGAACCCAGAAAUGGGAGGUAACAGUGAGGCAUGAUAGUGCCACCGCACUCCAGCCUUGGUGAUAGAGCAAGACCUUGUCUCUAAAAAAAGAAAAGUAAAGAAAGAACCCAGAAUGGAAACCUCCUUCCUUUCCCCCAAAUAAUUCUGAAGGUUCUUCUCCUUCCAAAUGCCCACAUCUCACCAAUGCCCACAUCUCACCAAUAUGCACACUCUCCCGCACACUUGCAGAUCCUCUUGUCUGCCAUGGGGCUCAGAAUUAGAUAGGGGUAAAAAGCCGGUGAGGGGAGAGAAGGGAGGGAGCAGAAAAGCCAGGAGAGAAAGACGCUCCGCAAAAUAUAGGACUCAAAACCCUUCAGCGGGAGGAGGGGAAGCCCUGGUGCCUCCCCUGCUGGCUUCCCCUCUCUCAUGCUUAGAAUUUGCUUCCUUCCAGGUUCAGAACCAGGACCUUCUGCCUUGGCCUCCUACCUGCAUGAGUGGCUGGCCACUCUUAGCAUCCACUGCCCACCCUCUGUGGCCACAGGCGAUUCUGCUAAUCUGAGCCAUCUGUGCAUCUUGAUCACAAGGAAGAUACCACCCUAAGCCUCCAAGGCCAGUUGGCCAAACAGAGAUUUGGCCACUCCUCCAGGAAGAGGUUUCUCACUAUGUCAGACGCAUCUCUGUCAGAAGCCCUUGCAAACAGUCAAACCAUUUUGUACUAUCAUUUCUGAUACGCAGCUCAAGAGGCACCAUGGGUACAAUCACAUCUGACAUAAUAUAGCUGCUAGAACACUUGGCCUGGCAGUUUUAGAAAGGGACUUUCAUGAUUAAAACACUCUUUCUCAGGGCAGCAUCUGCGAUGCCACCUACAUCUUUUGCCUGAGGGAUUCCCAGAGGGUCAAUAUCACCUCCUUUUCCCUUCUUUUGCUAACUCAGUGAAGAAAGAGCAAAGAUGAGUGAGUCAGAGCUUGGGAUAAAUUAUUACACAUAUGUCUGUGCAUGUUUGCAUCUGAGAAUAAAUGAAAGAAAAAUUAACCUG
rnacentral:lncRNA from 1 species